rnacentral:rRNA from 1 species
UGGUGACUAUAGCAAGGAGGUCACACCUGUUCCCAUGCCGAACACAGAAGUUAAGCUCUUUAGCGACGAUGGUAGUUGAACUUACGUUCCGCUAGAGUAGAACGUUGCCAGGCA